UGUGUUUUUCCAUUCUAUGUAUCAUAUAGGAAGAAGUUAUUCAUUUCACUAUUGUUUUAUUUUCACAUCUUUUUUCACAUGAUCUGUUGUAACAGUAGAUUGCUUCCCUUUGAGCUUGUAAGUGCUAUUGGUUAAUAAUAGGUAAAUAACCAUUCAGAACUAGAUCACAGAUAAACAGAUCAUAUGUUUACUACAGAUUAAGUAUGUUCCAUUUGAUAAAAUGGAUGACUAUCAGAUUUCAAAAUAUCAAAUGGGGAGAUAGGUCUGAUAGUCAUGAAGUAGUUCUAAUAGAUGUAAAUUAUUAAUACUGGAUUAACAGAAUUUUUUGUCAAUAUAAGUAAACUAAUAGGUUAAUAUCUAGGUUGAGUCCAGGCAAGGUCUCUACUGUAGUUGCAAUUGAGAAGGUUGGGUCUGCUAUGGCUAUUAAAUACCUGUCUUUCUCAGCUUCUGAAGAUGGAUGUAAUUAUUUGUGAUGAUGGAGAGAGUUAAAAAUUGCUAUCUAAUAUUGUUUUGAUUUAUUAGAGAUGGGAAAGCUAAUUUCUCCAGGUGUUUAUCCUAUCAGAAUUAUCUCUCUUGAAAAAUCUUGCCCAGUACUAUGUUUAUUUGCAAUCUAUGGAUCAAACCGAGAGGUAGUCAAAAGGCAAUUGAGUAAUCUAAAACAAGAAAUAAACCAGAUUAAAUUCUGAAGGAUGCAAAGAGAAACAAGGUCAAGUUGAACGCCCAAGGACUUAGUGAGUCAUGGCACAGGAUGCAAGAUGCUUGAUCAUAAAGUACAAAAUGUACAGAUUUCGUUUCUAUAACAUCUUUGUUCUUGAACAGAGGCUUUUAUGUAGGAAGAGGAUAAUCUAAAGUCACUAAUUUAUUAACUGCUAAAGGAGUUUAAGUCUUCAAGGGAAAUUCUCAAAGCAGUUGUAAUUUCCAAGAAACUUCUGCUUGGAUUUUGAUAUUCUUGCUAUGUUCUCUGUCUCCAAUCUUUAACACCAAUGUGCCUCAAUUUUUCUGGCAAAAAGGAACUCAUUGAUUCAACAGCCUCUCUUUCCUUCCUCUCUACUGAGGACUCAGUUCAAAGAUUCAGAAAUGGCUAUCACAAUCUAGAGUUCCAUUUUUUUGUAUUACUGUGGUCUGCAUUCUCAUACUUGAAAGUGCCAAGAGAAGAACCUGCAUCUGAACGUAUUCUCUUCUAAUAGGAGCCAGGGACUCCAAUGGCUUUCUACAACAGUAAAAGAACUACAGAACAACUAAAGAAGGUGAUAAUGAUGAACAAGUCAAAACUUUAAGAAAGUAGUUUGGUUAGAUGCUUGGUGGCUUACUACAAGAGAUAACCAAA